rnacentral:misc_RNA from 1 species
GUAAGAACUCACGUUCUACUCGCGGUCUGUCUCUCAUGACACAAGAAAAAUGGAUUUCUAUUUUUUCCUCAACUAACGCCAAGAUUCUUUACUUACAACUUUUCCCUAUUCGUUUUCUUCUCUUCGAUCAUUGGUUGUUGGUGGUGUUUGGCUGUUGACUCGAAUUCCUUUCUUGUAAUACCAGCGCAGCUCAAGCAAUUUCGGGAGCAACAAAAGGCAAAAGAUUUCUCUUCCCCCACACCAACAAAUACUAAAGCCACUCCAACACCAUUCUCAUCAGCCUUAGAUGCUGCAGCGUCUUACAGAAUGGCGUCUCAGUCUACGGCUCCUCAUCCUCCACCUCCUCAGCCUCCAAAGGAGUCCUUUUCUAGGCGUUACAAGUUCUUGUGGCCCCUUCUCUUGACUGUCAAUCUCACAGUUGGAGCUUACUUAUUCAUGAGAACAAAGAAAAAAGAUACAGACCUAGAGGAAGAAGUAGCAACCAAUGUCUCCACCCCUCCCACAGCCUCUCCACUUCCUGAGAAGCCCAUUUCGUUGCCUACAAUUGCAGAAACUGUGAAGCUGCAUGAACCAAUCCCUGAGAAUCAACAACGUGAACUGUACAAAUGGAUUUUAGAAGAGAAGAGGAAGGUCAAACCCAAAGAUCCACAAGAGAAGAGGCGCGUAGAUGAAGAUAAAGCUAUUCUUAAGCAGUUCAUUCGGGCAAAAUCCAUUCCAAGUAUUUAGGUGAAAUUUUUAGAACCAUCUCAUCUUUUGUAAUUACUGUUGCUUUGUUUUUGAUACAAGGGUGAUGUUUUUGUCAUCUUUAGCUUCAUAUUGACAAUUUACAGAUUGUACUUGGCUUUGUACAUAUAAUCAAUUUAAUGUCUUUGUGUGGUCAGAUAUGUAAAUUUGCAAGCCUAUAGGUUGAAUAAUCAUUUUAUAGCAAAUACAGUAUACUGUAAUAUGAUGGCUACUUGGCCGACCCAGCAGUUGAAGAUCACUUGCAAGGGCGUUCCCUUCCUCCUGCUAAUUCUCUUUGGCUGGUUAGUUUCAUCAUGGGUCUUCAUGAGGAUUGGGAUGUGGUACCGUGAAGCUAACAAUUGUGAAGCUUGUUAGCCAACUGGGCUUCUUCUCUAGAUAUGAGAGUGAGCCAUUUUCAGCCCUGUUUAGUCUGAAACUACUUUUCUGAAUAAAAGUACCAUUAUGCUGUUGAAAAAAGCAGUUUGGUAAAAGUUGUUUUGUUAUUUUAG